GACAGAGGUGCCGAGCGUUAGGCGGAAUCACUGGGCUUAAAGCGUGUGUAGGCGGACCCGUCAGUGUCUUGUGAAAUCCUACGGCUCAACCGUGGAACGGCUGGGCAUACUGCGGGUCUUGAGACACCUAGGGGCGAGCGGAACAGGCGGUGGAGCGGUGAAAUGCGUAGAUAUACGGAGGAACACCAGCGGCGAAGGCGGGUAGCUGGGCCAACACUGACGCUGAUGUGCGAAAGCUAGGGGAGCAAACGGG
rnacentral:rRNA from 1 species